rnacentral:rRNA from 1 species
UUCGGCGGCUAUGUCGCGGGGGAUCACCCGUUCCCUUCCCGAACACGGCAGUUAAGACCCGCAGAGCCGAUGGUACUGCCCGUUAGGCGGGCGGAAGAGUAGGUCGCCGCCGAUC